rnacentral:rRNA from 1 species
AGCAGCCGCGGUAAUUCCAGCUCCAAUAGCGUAUAUUAAAGUUGUUGCAGUUAAAAAGCUCGUAGUUGAAUUUCGGGGUCUGUCCGUCGGUCGGGCUUCACAGUCCGUACUGGUGUGAUGGGUUCCUACCUUCUGAAUAACCGGCAUGCCAUUCAGUUGGUGCGCCGGGGAAGCAGAGCUAUUACCUUGAAAAAAUUAGAGUGCUUAAAGCAGGCUAGUGCUUGAAUAGAUUAGCAUGGAAUAAUAAAAUAGGACGGCAUGGUUCUAUUUUGUUGGUUUCUAGGAUCACCGUAAUGAUUAAUAGGGAUAGUUGGGGGCAUUAGUAUUCAAUUGUCAGAGGUGAAAUUCUUGGAUUUAUUGAAGACUAACUUCUGCGAAAGCAUUUGCCAAGGAUGUUUUCAUUAAUCAAGAACGAAAGUUAGGGGAUCGAAGACGAUCAGAUACCGUCGUAGUCUUAACCAUAAACUAUGCCGACUAGGGAUCGGACGAUGUUAAUUUUUUAAUGACUCG